AUCUGCAUGUAGUUAAUUAGUAAAAAUUAAGGACAUUGCAAACAAAACCCUGCUGACAAGUGAGGCAGAAAUGUACUCUUUACUUCAAUCAGUCCAGCCUUUUAUCCAGUCCAGUUUUUAAAGUUUCACAGCUCUGAGAAUGUGGUGCAAAUACUAUGAAAACAAUCUUCAAAAUCCUUUUUUACCUAAGAGGGUGCCAACCAUUUAAAAGUGUAAAUGUUUUUUUUGUUCCCCAGGACUACUCACUUGUUACUUAUGAGCAUGAGCGUCACUUUUCCAUAAUAGCUGAAGAUUUAGGCAGUCAUAUGCCAUAGAGUGUCGCAAAUAUUAUAUUAAAGUGUCCCUCCACUAAAAAAAUUGCUUUGCUUAUUGUUACUGCACUUGGAUGUUUGACCUUCAUUGUGCAGAAUGAUCAAUGUGCAGUGUGAUGUGGAAAAUUUGAGCCUCCAGUGCACAUACACUGAGAAUGGACUUUUCAGACAUCUUGUGUCCAGCUUUUUGAAAUGAAAAAUAUCUAGAUAUUCAUAGAUUCUGGAUUGUUCAAGGAGGAUGAAGGAGUAGGUGUAAUUUUAAGAAUUUUGAACCAGUUAAUUGAUCUUUUAUAUGGAAAAACCCAUAUCAGACACAAAUUCGUAUUCAAAGCAGAGCAUCAGCAUAUGUAUUAAACAUGUCUGGAGGGGACCUUAAAAGGUUUUCAUUUCAUCUACAGACAACACCAGACUGAUUAUUGCACUGAUAGAUUCUGUCUCAAUCCUGUUUAAGAUUAGAGCUGGGUAUCGCCACUGAUUUCCCAAAAUCAAUUUGAUUCCGAUUCACAAGGUCCCGAUUCGAUUCAAUAUCAAUUCGGUUAGGGACGUUUCAGUAACAAUACCAGUUUUGCUUGGAUAUGAAAGAGAUUCUCAGAGAACUAAUGCUGUAAAUUGUACAAGGAACCCUCUAACCUGGUGCAUUAUUAUAAAUAAAUAUAUAGAUAUUAAGGAAAAAACUUGACAUUUAAGGUUGAAAUAAUGUCCCUUAAUCAUACAGUAUUGCAUUUCUGAAUGUUGUGCUGUUAUUUCCGCGUUAAAAGAAAAAAAGGAUAGAUUGUUAGAAAGACUGUGUGAUGACUGCUCACUCAGUCAGAGGUCAGUCAGGUGAGCCCGGGAACCUGUAUACCUGAAUGGCAGAGUUCCACUCGACUCACAAAGCCUCCGUGAUACAAGUGAGUUAGCAUAAUAUAUUGUAGAAUUUUUAUGUUAUUCGCGUAUUAAUACUGCGUGGUUAUGCAUCUACGUUUAUACGCACUGUUUGUUAACUUCCUUCUCCAGUGCUUUUUUUUUUUUAGCUCGGAGAAAGAGUUCAUCAAGCUAGCAGCACAACACGUGAAAGCAGCCUGAUCUGGAAAGUUUCCCGAGUUCUCCAGUGUCGCAGCCUUGGUGCGCCUUCCGAUCCGCGGAGCCCAGCUCGCUGCACUUCGCGGCCGGAGAACGCUUCUCCUGGAGAGGAGCAACCGAACGCUGGUGGCUGGGCUCCCGCUUCAGCUCGGGGGGGAAACCGGCUACGUCCCAGCCUCACACACCGAACAAAUACGGAUGAUGGCUCGGAAAUAUAUAUCAGCAUGCUUUAUGCGACGAGUCACCGGACGCUCCUGGACCGGUCAAAGGUCAAAUGCAGCAGUCGGAUGCAGAGCUGGAGGUUCCCAGGCAGACAGUGAUUUGUUGCAGCCCUCACAUGAAAGCUCCUCUCGCAGUAGCUGCCUGACUCUCAGCAAGAUGACAGCAGGAUUUCAACAGGCAGAGUUAUUUGUCACAAAACAAAUUGUUACAAAUCUGUGAGACAAAUAUAGAAUAGCGAGCCCACCAUGUUUUAAUCUCUCAUUUUUCUGUGUUUUGUUUCGAUAAUCGAAAUGAAUAAAUGAACGGGGACCAUG